rnacentral:tRNA from 1 species
GAAAAAAAACAAAUAAGAAACUAAAACGACCCUUACAAACCUUACAAAAGGGGAAUUUCGAAAACGAAUAGUGAA